UGGCUCAGGACGAACGCUGGCGGCGUGCUUAACACAUGCAAGUCGAACGGAAAGGCCCUUCGGGGUACUCGAGUGGCGAACGGGUGAGUAACACGUGGGUGAUCUGCCCUGCACUUUGGGAUAAGCCUGGGAAACUGGGUCUAAUACCGAAUACACCUCGCUGGCCGCAUGGUCUGGUGGGGGAAAGCUUUUGCGGUGUGGGAUGGGCCCGCGGCCUAUCAGCUUGUUGGUGGGGUGAUGGCCUACCAAGGCGACGACGGGUAGCCGGCCUGAGAGGGUGACCGGCCACACUGGGACUGAGAUACGGCCCAGACUCCUACGGGAGGCAGCAGUGGGGAAUAUUGCACAAUGGGCGCAAGCCUGAUGCAGCGACGCCGCGUGGGGGAUGACGGCCUUCGGGUUGUAAACCCCUUUCAGCACAGACGAAGCGCGAGUGACGGUA
rnacentral:rRNA from 1 species